CCCGGGGGGGAGCCUAAUACAUGCAAGAUCGAACGAACUCUGGUAUUGAUUGGUGCUUGCAUCAUGAUUUACAUUUGAGUGAGUGGCGAACUGGUGAGUAACACGUGGGAAACCUGCCCAGAAGCGGGGGAUAACACCUGGAAACAGAUGCUAAUACCGCAUAACAACUUGGACCGCAUGGUCCGAGUUUGAAAGAUGGCUUCGGCUAUCACUUUUGGAUGGUCCCGCGGCGUAUUAGCUAGAUGGUGGGGUAACGGCUCACCAUGGCAAUGAUACGUAGCCGACCUGAGAGGGUAAUCGGCCACAUUGGGACUGAGACACGGCCCAAACUCCUACGGGAGGCAGCAGUAGGGAAUCUUCCACAAUGGACGAAAGUCUGAUGGAGCAACGCCGCGUGAGUGAAGAAGGGUUUCGGCUCGUAAAACUCUGUUGUUAAAGAAGAACAUAUCUGAGAGUAACUGUUCAGGUAUUGACGGUAUUUAACCAGAAAGCCACGGCUAACUACGUGCCAGCAGCCGCGGUAAUACGUAGGUGGCAAGCGUUGUCCGGAUUUAUUGGGCGUAAAGCGAGCGCAGGCGGUUUUUUAAGUCUGAUGUGAAAGCCUUCGGCUCAACCGAAGAAGUGCAUCGGAAACUGGGAAACUUGAGUGCAGAAGAGGACAGUGGAACUCCAUGUGUAGCGGUGAAAUGCGUAGAUAUAUGGAAGAACACCAGUGGCGAAGGCGGCUGUCUGGUCUGUAACUGACGCUGAGGCUCGAAAGUAUGGGUAGCAAACAGGAUUAGAUACCCUGGUAGUCCAUACCGUAAACGAUGAAUGCUAAGUGUUGGAGGGUUUCCGCCCUUCAGUGCUGCAGCUAACGCAUUAAGCAUUCCGCCUGGGGAGUACGGCCGCAAGGCUGAAACUCAAAGGAAUUGACGGGGGCCCGCACAAGCGGUGGAGCAUGUGGUUUAAUUCGAAGCUACGCGAAGAACCUUACCAGGUCUUGACAUACUAUGCAAAUCUAAGAGAUUAGACGUUCCCUUCGGGGACAUGGAUACAGGUGGUGCAUGGUUGUCGUCAGCUCGUGUCGUGAGAUGUUGGGUUAAGUCCCGCAACGAGCGCAACCCUUAUUAUCAGUUGCCAGCAUUAAGUUGGGCACUCUGGUGAGACUGCCGGUGACAAACCGGAGGAAGGUGGGGAUGACGUCAAAUCAUCAUGCCCCUUAUGACCUGGGCUACACACGUGCUACAAUGGAUGGUACAACGAGUUGCGAACUCGCGAGAGUAAGCUAAUCUCUUAAAGCCAUUCUCAGUUCGGAUUGUAGGCUGCAACUCGCCUACAUGAAGUCGGAAUCGCUAGUAAUCGCGGAUCAGCAUGCCGCGGUGAAUACGUUCCCGGGCCUUGUACACACCGCCCGUCACACCAUGAGAGUUUGUAACACCCAAAGUCGGUGGGGUAACCUUUUAGGAACCAGCCGCCUUAAGAGGGCCCCCGGG
rnacentral:rRNA from 1 species